rnacentral:misc_RNA from 1 species
CAACCCUCAAGCAAUGCUUGGUACUUGGGCUUCGCUGCUCACGUAGCGGGCCUUAAAAUCAGUGGCGGUGCUGUCGGGCCCUGAGCGCAGUAAAUAUCCUCGCUACAGGGACUCGGUGGACGCUGGCCAUCAACCCCCCACUCUCUUA